AUGGCUUCCAUUCACUGGGCGCUGCUACUCUUUCUUGUACAACUCCCCAUACUGGCCACCUCCAGCGCCCACAGUGAUGGUAACCUCACACUGUGGUGCCAUCCAGACCAGGCUGCAGCGCUUCUCCAACUAAAGCAAUCCUUCUUUGCUGCAGAAACAACCGCUACUAUCCUCCCGUCAUGGCAAAAUGGCACCAAUUGCUGUCUCUGGGAGGGCAUUAUCUGUGAUGCUUCUUUUGGUCUUGUGACUGUACUAGACCUCAGUGGGUAUGGCCUAAACAGUUAUGGCUUGGACCCUGCGCUCUUCAGCCUCAAAUCCCUCCGACGUCUCGAUCUUAGCAUGAAUUCUUUAGGAGAUUACAGCUACAACAUCACCACUGCUGAGUUUGAGAGGCUUGCUCUGCUAACUCAUCUCAAUUUCUCCAACUCGGGCUUGGAUGGCCAGAUACCUAUUGGCAUCAGCAAACUCGUUAACCUUGUCUCCUUGGAUCUUUCAAGUCACAGAGUUUCCGAUUAUGAUGAUCCUACCUCUGCAGGUGACAGUUUUAAUCAUCUUCGGGAGCCCAAUUUUGAGAUCCUGGUAGCGAACCUCAACAAUCUAAGAGAGCUCUACCUUGAUGGAGUGCAGAUAAUGUCUAGCAGCGGUGAAGAUUGGGGCAAAGCUCUUGCAAAAUAUGUUCCUCAUCUUCAGGUACUUAGCUUGGAGGGAUGCAGGCUGAAUGGUCCUAUUCAUCAUUCCCUCUCGAGCAUCCAUUCUCUUGUUGCGAUCAACCUUGGAUCCAAUGAUGCUGGUCCGAUUCCAGAGUUCUUCGCAGAUUUUCCCAAUCUAAGUGAGCUUCAACUUUCGGAUAUGAAUCUUCAGGGGUGGUUCCCUCAAAGAUUUUUUCAACUCAAAAAUUUAAGGGUCCUAGAUUUGUCCUCAAACCCGAAUCUCUCGGGGCAUUUGCCAAACUUUCCUCAUGCAAGUUCUCUAUAUACUUUGAGGCUAGAGGGGACCAACUUCUCCUCUGCUAAACCAAGUUCUUCUGGCAAUUUCAAGCUGUUGAGGGAGUUAACUCUUGACGGGAAAUUUCUAUCGAUGGAUUUUCUCUCUUCAUUUGGUGUACUUGGGUCUUUACGCCAGUUGAAGGUUUCUCUGAUGGACUCACAUAAAGAGUUGGGAUCAAUUUUGUCAUGGAUUGGAGACCUCAGGAACUUAACGAGCUUGGAACUCUAUGUGUGCGACUUCUCUUGGACUAUGCCUUCCUCUAUUGGUAACCUGAAGGCCUUGAGAAGCUUGACAAUGUUUGAUUGCAACCUCCCUAGGCCCAUAUUGUCUGAAAUUGGAAAUCUCAUUGGCUUGCAAAAGUUGAAACUAUCUGACUGCAAAUUACAUGGUUCAAUGGCAUCUUCAGUGCACAACCUCACAAAUUUAAGAAGCUUGUAUAUUGGGAGUUGUGAUGCUUGCGGAACAAUGCCAGCUGCAAUUGGCUAUCUUAGAAACUUGAGAAGGUUGGAGAUCUCCGGUUCUGACUUUUCUGGGUCCAUACCAUCUACUAUUGGCAAUCUGACUAACUUGAAAAGCAUGUCAGCUUUCUGGGCCAAUACCUUAUGCAAUUGGGCAACUCAAGGAAGCCUAGCUAUUUUUGGCGGGAACAUUUCUGGGAGGAUACCAGGUUCACUUGUCAAUAUAACUCAACUGACAGAACUGGAUAUCUCCUAUACUCAUGUGAGCGGUCAUAUUCCGGCACCUCUUUUCGCUCUUCCAAAAUUAAGGUACUUGAAUCUUGGUUGGAACCAACUUUCUGGUCCUAUAGAAGAGUUCGACGCGCCAUCUUCAUGCUUACAGCUCGUGAGUUUGAGCAGAAAUUCAUUGGCAGGCAAGUUUCCCAAGUCAUUCUUCCAACUUGCAGAGUUGGUUCAUCUAGAAAUCAACUUGAACAACUUUGAAGAUUCAGUGGAUCUUUCAUCAUUUGGGAGGUUAAGAAAGCUCACUGGUUUGGAUCUUUCACACAAUAAGUUGUCUGUUAUGAUUGACGAAGGCAAUAACUCUCUGUCUACCUCUCUUUUUGGACUGGAUGAACUGGGACUAGCAUGUUGCAAUAUAACCAAAAUUCCUAGUUUUUUGACACAUCUUGACAGAAUGGUUUAUCUAGACCUUUCUUGCAACAAAAUCACUGGAGACAUACCAAAGUUGAUAUGGGAGAGAUGGAACAAUAGCCUUUUGCAACUAAAUCUUUCACACAACAUGUUCACCGGUAUGCAACUUACUUCAUAUGCUCUUCCAUUCAGUAGGUCCCUGGAAGUGUUUGAUCUUAGUUCCAAUAGGCUGCAGGGACAGAUCCCUAUGCCAGACUUAUCAUCAGAAUAUUUGGAUUAUUCACACAACUUUUUCUCUUCUGUUCUCCCAAACUUCACGUUGUAUCUCAGCAACACCAACUAUCUCAGUAUGUCCAACAAUAGUAUAAAUGGAUAUAUACCAGAAACAGUUUGCAAUUCCAGCUUGGAUGUCCUUGACCUAUCACAUAACAACUUUAGCGGGCCGAUUCCGUCCUGUUUGAUAGAAAAUGCUCGACGGAGCGUAUUAAAUUUGAGAGAGAAUCACUUUGAAGGGACGUUGCCAUCCAAUAUUACAAGUGAAUGCACUUUCCAGACAAUAGAUUUACAUGACAAUAAGAUUGAAGGACAAAUUCCGAGGGGACUUUCUAACUGCAGUUAUUUGGAGGUUCUUGACAUCGGAAACAACCGAAUAGUUGAUACUUUCCCAUCUUGGCUAGGGGAGCUUUCCAAUCUGUAUGUUCUUAUCUUAAGAUCCAACCGAUUUUAUGGCUCCAUAGAUGGUGAUAUUGGGAAUCACAAAUCAAGAGGGUACUUCUCUAGCUUGCAAAUUCUUGAUCUCGCCUUGAACAACUUCUCCGGCAAAAUGAAUUCAGAAUGGUUUGGUCAGUUGAAAGCAAUGAUGGCCAACUUCAAUGGUUCUGGAGAUAUUGUCCGUGCUACAAACUUAAAUGGUAUGGCGGAAUACUACCAAGAUUCUACUGAGAUCACAUACAAGGGGUCCUACGUGACAUUUGUAAGGAUCCUGACCACUUUAAAAGCAAUUGACCUUUCAAAUAAUAGAUUGGAAGGUACCAUUCCUGAGUCAGUUGGACGGCUUGUUUCACUGCGUGUACUGAACAUGUCACACAAUGGAUUCACGGGAGAAAUUCCAACCCAGCUUGGCGGUGUGACUGAUCUAGAGUCACUAGACCUGUCUUGCAACCAACUUUCUGGGGAGAUUUCACAGGAACUCACAAAUCUGACCUCUCUAACCACCCUGAACUUAUCUGACAACCAGUUGGUGGGGAAGAUACCGCAGUCACGCCAGUUCCCCACAUUUGACAGCAAUUCAUUCGAAGGGAAUUUGGGACUGUGUGGACCGCCAUUCUCCAACCCCUGUGGCGUUUCACUUGCUCCUCCAGGCAUGGCACGCAUGGAGAAGUCUUCUAAUGUGGAUAUCAUCCUGUUUCUCUUUGUCGGGCUGGGCUUCGGUGUUGGAUUUGCAGCUGCCAUUCUGAUGAGAUGGGGUCGAAUCGGAAAAUGGUUUGUUAAAUCUGCAAGAGCUUUGUGGAGGACUUGA
rnacentral:rRNA from 1 species